GAGGAGUUGGGAGUGAGGGAGCGGGCGUAGCAAUCUCGACAGGCACUGUGAAGUGACCGGAGCUGUGAUUGAAGUAUCGACACGUCUCUAAUUGGCGUCCCUCGUCUAUUGAACGGCCGACAAACGAAAAAGGGGUGUGACCUCAGCGGCCGGCCGCCCACACGGCCACCAUGGCCGGCAGCGUCCUCUCCGGCGUCGCUGUGGCGCUGCUACUGCUGCAGCUGACCGCCUGCGUCACCGCCAGGGCAACGUACACGAUCGUGGCGCCGCGCGUGCUGCGUCCGAACCUGCCGUUCAACGUGGCGAUCACAAUUCUGGACACGACGGCGCCGACACGAGUCACGGUGCAGGUCGGCGGUAGGCCCGACUCGGGAGGCAACGAACUCAAGACCAAGGAGGUGGUGGUGCAGCCGGGCGUCACCACCUUCACCACCUUCAACAUCGGUGACCUGGGCCCGGGUCGGUACAACCUGACGGCCGCCGGCCAGGGCGGACUCAGUUUCCAGAACACCACGGCUCUGGAGUACGUGCACAAGUCGUACUCUGUGUUCAUCCAGACGGAUAAGGCCAUCUACAAGCCUGGCGACCUGGUGCGGUUCCGGGCGGUGGUCCUGAACCCCAGCCUGCGACCGCACACCGCCGGAAACCUCAACGCCUGGGUCACCGACGGAAAGGGGAACCGGAUUCAGCAGUGGGACCGUCAGUUUACCACCAACGGCGUGUUCACCAACUCCAUCCAACUGUCUGACCAGCCCGUCCUCGGCGACUGGAACCUCACGAUUGACGUGUUGGGCCAGCGGACGAGCAAGGUGUUUGAGGUGGCCGAGUACGUGCUGCCGCGGUUCGAGGUGACCAUCGACCUGCCGCCGUACGCCACCUUUGACGACACCAGCGUCACCGCCACCGUACACGCCAAGUACACGUAUGGCAAGGCGGUGCGAGGCGAGGUGAUGGUCCGCGCCCACCCGGAGCUCAAGUCCACCUACCUACAGCCCAUCUUCCAGGACCCUGUGCGGAAGUCGGCGCCCAUUGACGGCACCGCCGACGUCACCUUCAACCUGAAGGACGAGCUCGGUCUGACCAAUGAGGACUACGAGCGGGAGCUGGUGUUUGACGUCAUUGUGACGGAGGAGCUGACGGGCCGCGCGCAGAACGCCUCGGCCGUCACCACCAUCCACCGUCACAAAUAUACCCUGCAGCUAGUGAAAACCGCCGAGAACUUCAAACCCGGACUCAAAUACACCGCCUUCCUGAAGCUCGCCACCCAGGACGACAUGCCGGUGCGGGGCGGCCGGGACAAGGUGACCGUCAAGUACGGCUACACGUACAACCACGAGAACUACACGGUCACCGAGUACGACGUGCCGUCCAACGGCCUGCUCGAGCUCACCUUCUUCCCACCGGCCGACAACGACACGCACGCGCUCGGCAUAGAGGCGGAGUACAAGGGCGUGAACCAGUGGUUUUCGACCGUCAACAAGGCGCUGUCUCCGUCCAACUCGUACAUCCAGGCCACGCUGGAGACGGAGGAGCCGCGGGUGGGUCAGCCGGUCACUGUGAGGAUCAACUCGACCCGGCCGGUGAACCAGUACGUGUACGAGGUGCUCGGUCUGGGCCAGCUGCAGUUCGCCGAGACCAUGAACGCAGGAGGAGCGACCACACACCAGUUCAGGUUCACCAUCCGUAAGGACAUGGUGCCCCGCACGCGAGUGGUCGUCUACCACAUCCUGCCGGACGGAGAAGUGGUGGCCGACGCGCUCGACUUUGACGUCAUGGGAACAUUCCAGAACACGGUGGACAUCGAGCUGGGUGCCAACAAGGUCGAGCCCGGUCAGGAGGUGGACAUCAAGAUCAAGACGCGGCCCGACUCCUACGUCUGUGUGCUGGGAAUCGACCAGGCCGUCACCGUGCUCAAGUCGGGUAACGACAUUACCCAGGCGGACGUCUAUGAGGAGAUGGAGAGCUACGACUCGGGCCGCCGCCCGGACGGUCUGCCCUACCUGGAGAGGCAGAAACGGUCGCUGUUCUUCUGGCCGGGAACAUCCACCGCCAGUCAGGUGUUCGAGGAUUCCGGCGUUGUCAUGCUGACGAACGCGUAUGUGCACGAGAGCUUUCAUCUGACUGACGGCGAGGAGGGCGCCGAGAUUGGUAAGCGUCCCAGCUCGCGGCCCAUCCGCCCUCUGGUCUAUCGGAACGAGAGCACGGAGCUGCGCCCGGACCGCGGGCCGGGCAUCGAGUACCGGCCCGUCACGCGGCCGCCGCUGGCCGGGCCGUUCGCGUUUUUCACGAUCCCGGCGCCGUUCUACCAUCACCGGCGAGUCAAUGUGGUCAGGGACCCGCCCAACACGUGGAUCUUCGCCGACGUGCCGACGGCCGGAACGCUGGGCGAGGUGCGUCUGCGUGAGACGGCGCCCGACACCAUCACCUCGUGGAUGAUAUCCGCCUUCUCCGUGGACAAUCUGUACGGCCUCGGCGUCUCCGAGAGGCCGUCAAAGCUGCAGGUAUUCCGACCGUUCUUCGUGUCGCUGAACCUGCCGUACGCCGUGAAGCGCGGAGAGGUGGUGGGCAUCCAGUGCGUGGUGUUCAACUACCACCAGGCGGACCUGAUUGCCGAGGUGACGCUCGAACACCAGGGUGACCUGCAGUUCACCAGCUUCAGCGACGAGGCCAAUAAUGAGGUGGAGGGCGAGGAAAAGAUAGCGCCCACUCUGGAGCUGUUUAUCAAGAAGCAGGUACUGGUGCCCAAAAACGACGGCGCUAGCGUCACAUUCAUGGUCAUACCCCAGACGCUCGGCCACGUGGACAUCAAGGUCACCGCGCGCACCAGCGUCGCCGGAGACUCCGUGCAGAGGAAGCUGCUCGUCAAGCCGGAGGGGGUGCCCCAGGUGAUCAACUCGGCCAUGCUGGUGGACCUGCGGAACACGGACCGAUUCAACAGCUCUGUACCCAUCAAACUACCGCGCAGCUUCGUCAAUGGAUCCAACUCGGUCGAGGUCUCCGUCAUCGGUGACAUUCUUGGCGGUAGUGUCGGUAACCUGGAGAGCCUGAUCCAGCUUCCGUACGGCUGCGGCGAACAAAACAUGCUGCGCUUCGUGCCCAACAUUGUGGCGCUGGACUACCUGACCGGCUCGGGUCAGAUCACGGCCGGUCUGCAGGCGCGGGCCGUCGGAAACAUGCGCACGGGGUACCAGCGCGAGCUGAGCUACCGCAGGGAGGACGGCAGCUUCUCGGCGUUCGGGGACAGGGACGACGCCGGAUCUACCUGGCUGACGGCGUUUGUGAUUCGCUCGUUCGCCAUGGCUCGCGAGUACAUCGAGAUCGACAGCAGCGUCAUGGAGCUGGGUCUCAAGUUCCUGGCCGACAACCAGGCCUCCAACGGCUCCUUCCCAGAGGUGGGCCGCGUCAGCCACCAGCCGAUGCAGGGCGGCUCGGCGCGCGGCGUCCCGCUCACCGCCUUCACGCUGCUCGCCUUCCUCGACUCGGAGGAGGGCAGCCAGUUCAGCAACGCCAAGAACAACGCCAUCGACUACCUGGUCAGGAACAUCCCUACCGACCCGUACGAGCUGUCCGUGGUGGCCUACGCGCUGGCCAAGGCCGGCCACCCGGGCGCGCCCGGCGCGCUGGUCCGCCUCAGCCGCAUGGCCACCGAGGAAGACGACAUGCGUUGGUGGGAGAAGCCUUUGGAGUCGCUGAAGAACACGUCCUUCUGGUACGGCCGGCCGCGCCCGCUGGACAUUGAGAUGACGUCCUACGCGCUGCUCACCUACCUGGAGCGGGGGGAGAGAGAGGAGGCGCUGCCCAUCCUCCGCUGGCUCAUGAGGCAGCGCAACGACAUGGGAGGCUUCCAGAGCACACAGGACACGGUGGUGGGGAUGACUGCGCUGGCAGAGGCGGCCGACGCUCUCCAGUCUGCCGACACCGACGUCUCGGUCCGGUUCAUCUUCGGGCCGCGCGGCAAGAACAUGCGCGUCACCCGAUCCAACGCGCUCACCGUGCAGAAAUACGAGCUGCCGGACCCGGAGGUGGACACGGUCGAGGUGAGUGCCACCGGCUCCGGCCUGGCCGUCGUCCAGGUCACACACCGCUACCACGUGAACGUCACCGGGCCCGACCCCAGCUUCUUCCUCAGCCCCCGGAUGGACGGACUCAGCAACAAGCGGCACAUCAAAGUCAGCGCCUGCACGGGGUCAGUGAGACGGCGGGGACAGCGGCUCUGGGGUUCGGGUGGCGUGUGAGUUACUUUUUGGGAAAUUGAAUGAAUGUCUUGCGUCUGAGACUGUCUUCCUUGCGUGCUUUUAAUGCUUAGAUGUGAGAAGAUAAGUCAUUGAAGAGGACUUAGUUUGUGAUAAACCCAAUUGACAUCAUGGAAUUAAUAAUCUGUCCCGUUAAUCUCUCCGUGUUCGCCUCCCCAGCUGGGAGGGCGAGGGCGACUUGAGCAGUGGAUUGAACUCCCCUCCAUGUACAAGUCUGACGUUUCCGCUUCCCCUCAGGUGGGAGGGCGAGGGCGACUCGAGUAAUAUGGCCGUGAUGGAGAUCGGCUGCCGUCCCCGUGUAAUCAGUCUGACGUUCCCCUCUACCCUCUGCAGGUGGGAGGGCGAGGGCGACUCGAGUAACAUGGCCGUGAUGGAGAUCGAGCUGCCGUCCGGCUUCACCGUGGACGAACAGUCCAUCCCCGGUCUGUACAAGUACCGCAGCGUCAAACGCGUCGAGACCGCCGACGGAGAUACCAAGGUCGUCAUAUACUUCGACGAGAUUUCCCAGUACGAGACGUGCCCCACGGUUCUCGGCUACUAUACGGCCAAGGUGGCCCGCCAGAAGAGGUCGGCAGUCACCGUCUACGACUACUACGACCCCACCCGGAUGGCGCGCCAGUUCUACCUGCCGAUCCAGGCGACCCUCUGUGACAUCUGCGAGGGCGACGACUGCGACCCGGUCCAGUGCGCCCAGGAGUCCGAGACGUCUGGUCAGCAGACCGGAGAUCCGGACGCCGCCGGUACCAUCUCCUUGCAGUGGCCGUCACUGCUCGUCGCAGCGCUAGUUUUGGCCGCCGGCCGGUAGGCGGCGCUGGCGAUGGGUGGAUAGAGGGCGCUGGCGUCGUGUGAUUCGCUAGUUGGCCGCUAUCACCCGCCCGCUGUGAAAGACACUUCUGUGGUAAAAGUCGAGAGGAAUGAGGAUAGUCUGGUGACUGAAUGUGACAGACUGAGCUCAGUCCGCUGACUGAAUGUGACAGUUCGAGAUGUGACUGACAGUCGACCAAAGUCUGAUGGUCGUUUGACCGAGGUUUGUUGGACAGCUAACGGGUUUGUGACGGUCGGUGGACAGAAUCCACAGGUCCAGCUGUCCCGAGAGGACAGCCAAGACGGUGGCAGAGUGAAUCCGCCCAGUUUGAGCUCUAACUGUAUUAAUCCGUCCAGAUAUGAGCUCCGACUGUAUUAAUCCGUCCAGAUAUGAGCGAGAACAGUGUUAAUCCGUCCAUUUAUGAGUACGGGCCCUUGUGAAUCCGUCCAGAGUUGCAGUGGCGCGCGGUUCCGCUGGAAUUCCGCCCAGUGUGUGACGUUUACGAGUGACGUGGGUCUCACUGAGAUGCCUUGUACACGGGGUAGACUGAUGUUGGUCGUUCACCGCUUCUGAGAGAGAGAGAGAGAGAUGGGCACGACGACCAAAGGGAUUCAUAUAUUUGCCGCUUGCACUGUUAACUAGUGGUGGUUGUCACCGAUAUGUCGCUAACAUUCCAGAAUGUCGCACUAUGGUAGGGGUCCAUGAAGUUCCCUGUUGCCUGAGUAUAAUUACCGGUCCUCGCGCCAUCGCACCCUCACACAGUAACCGCCACUGGUAUGUGCCGCCGCGGAGCUUGAUGUCUAACUCGUUGCGUUGUUACGUUUGCGGUAUCACAAUCACCCUUCAUUGUCUGCCGGCGGUGUCGGCUCUCGCUCACCUAACACCGUAGCGCUAUUCACUGGGCUACAUCGUCUGCACGUUGUACUAUUGUUGGGGGUAGCGGGCGGGGGAGCCCGCCGGCCCGGGUGGACCGGGGAGCGCCAGGGGCGCCGGACGUUUUACUGCGCAUUGUGAGUGUAUGAGGGCUGUUUUUGGCCCGUAUUUAUAACAAAUGUGACUGAAUAAUAAACUUGUGAAAUACCCAAA